rnacentral:rRNA from 1 species
GACAGAGGGGGCAAGCGUUGUCCGGAUUUACUGGGCGUAAAGAGCGCGCAGGCGGUCGGAUAAGUCGAAUGUGAAAGCCCCCGGCUCAACUGGGGAGGGUCAUUCGAUACUGUUCGACUCGAGGGCAGGAGAGGGAAGUGGAAUUCCCGGUGUAGUGGUGAAAUGCGUAGAUAUCGGGAGGAACACCAGUGGCGAAGGCGACUUCCUGGCCUGUUCUUGACGCUGAGGCGCGAAAGCUAGGGGAGCAAACGGG